UAACGAAUAUUGGGCAAUGGGCGAAAGCCUGACCCAGCAAUGCCGCGUGCAGGACGAAGUCCUUCGGGAUGUAAACUGCUGUCAGGGGUCCGCAAGCGAAGGGGUCCAACAGGCCCUGGAGUUGAGCAGCCCCAGAGGAAGCCUCGACUAACUCUGUGCCAGCAGUCGCGGUAAGACAGAGGAGGCAAGCGUUGUUCGGAAUCACUGGGCUUAAAGCGCGUGUAGGCGGCUUAGAAAGUGUCGUGUGAAAUCCCGCGGCUCAACCGCGGAACUGCACGGCAAACUAUUUGGCUUGAGGUCGGUAGAGGCGCCUGGAACUCUAGGUGGAGCGGUGAAAUGCGUAGAUAUCUAGAGGAAUGCCGGCGGCGAAAGCGGGGCACUGGGCCGAUUCUGACGCUGAGACGCGAAAGCGUGGGGAGCAAACA
rnacentral:rRNA from 1 species